AAAAAUCGUGAGGGUUCAAGUCCCUCUAUCCCCAAAAAGGCUUAUUUGA
rnacentral:tRNA from 1 species